GGCACUCUCCAUAGUUCUGGAGGCUGCAAGUUUGAGAUCAAAGUGCUGGCAUAUCUGCUCCUGUUGGCCUUCCCAUUGGCCUUCAUGUGGAGGAGAGCAGGCUCUGGCCUCUUUGUGAGGACACUUAUCUCAUGACCUCUUUGACACUGAUGACUGUCCUCAGGCUAUCCCCACACACCAUCCUCUGGGAAUAGGGCUUCAAAAGGUGAAUUUUGGAAGGACACUAACAUUUAGUCUUCAACAGUAGUGUUUCCUUGUAUGGAUAUACAGAUUUCUUUUUUUUUUAAUAGUCCUCUUUUGAGGACCUUUAGGAGCACAUUCUAGUCUUGUCCUUUCACUUAUCUGAGGGAAAUUUCUUCAAGUAGAUCAAUCACGAAAUCCUUGAACAGUGAAGAUCAACUGCACCUACCUUGCAGGGCCACCACAAGACUCUGCCGUAACAGACGACAGCAGACAGCAGGCCCUCCAUGGGGCAGCACCAGCACCCUCAGUCCAGUCACUAACAGACCUCUGCUGAGCCAUGCUCACAGCACACACGGUACAGGGGUCACAGAGCACCAGACUCUCUCUCAGAUGUUAGAACUGAUUAACAUCUUCCAGUUUUGAACAGAAUACU
rnacentral:lncRNA from 1 species